rnacentral:rRNA from 1 species
GUCCUACCAACAGAACAAACCCCCCGGCGUAAAAUGCGCCAAGGAAUCUUAAAUGAAAAAAGAAGGUAGCCAGCACCCUAGCGUGCCGGGAACGGAAUUCGCAAGGGCGGUUGGUUUCCUUGUUUAAAAACUAAAUGACUCUCGGCAACGGAUAUCUUGGCUCUCGCAUCGAUGAAAAACGUAGCGAAAUGCGAUACUUGGUGUGAAUUGCAAAAUCCCGUGAACCAUCGAGUUUUUGAACGCAAGUUGCGCCCAAAGCCUUCGGGCCAAGGGCACGUCUGCCUGGGUGUCAUGUAUCGUUGCCCCAUCCAACUCCCUCUGUGGGGAGAUUGGACUAGGGGCGGAAAUUGGUCUCCCGUGUGCUCCCGCUCGCGGUUGGCCGAAAAUCGAGUCGUUGGUGAUAGUGCCACG